UUUGAUGCACUAUUCCAAGAAGGCGUUUGUAUAAAAGGUGUAGCUUCUUCAGUCCUUCUUUUACAGUAUAGAAGGAGGGAUCACACCACACGUAGUCUGCUUCACCCCGGAGCAGUCACAGGACUGUUAGAUGUCAUUCACAGUGACACAGGAAGGAGAAGGCGAUGAGGUGGCUCUGUGUGUGCUCCUUCAUAGUACUUAGUUUAUCAUGCUGCAGACAAUGAAGAAGGAUCUGUCUGGAAAGAUCAAUGAUAUUUACAACAUCGAGAGCUCCUCACAUAGGCCAGGAAGUAAGAAUGUGAAAGCUGAUGCUUUGUCUCAAAGCUUUUGUGUGUUUCAACCUCCUGACACUCCUCCUGAAACUAUCUUGCUGGCUAUCAUCAUUGUGGCAUCUUUAUCCGCGAAUCUGGCUUCUGAUAUUAAGGCAGCACAACACCUAGCUCCGGAGCAGACACCCAAAGAUAAGUUGUUUGUUCCUGGUCAUUUCUGUCUCCGGCUGCUGGAUGUCAUGUCUGAUACACCCUGUGUGGUAAGAAGUCUGUCCUCAGUAGAAGGAGAAGAGGUGCUCCUUAAGGUGGAUCUGGCUGACUUGUCGGAGGUGUCCUGGGUAACUCGUCCUGGUAACUAUCACAUUGCCAGAACUUACAUUGGUGGAAAGAUUUAUAUACGAGGCAAUAACUAUAAAGGAAGACUUUUUGGUGAGAGUGAUGGCUCUUUAAGGAUCAGCAACUUAUCAAGAGAUGACCAAGGGCUCUACAGAGCAAACCAAAGGGGGCCAGAAAGUCUUCAGUGCUUGGAGUAUUAUCUCCAGGUCUACAAGCAGGUCUCAGAAGACGAUUUGCAGAUCUUCUACUCAGUGUCCAGGCACGAGGGCUGUAGUGUGAAUAUAACCUGCGCUGUACAAAGAUCAGAUCUGACGGUUACCUGGAUCAGCUCUGAAGGUGACAUCAUUGUAAAUGGCAAUGUCAUUUCUAUACAUGACCCCAGUAGAAAUGCCACCUACACCUGUACAGCAGGGAACCCCAGCAACAACCGCUCCAUAUCUGUCAACCCCUGGAGUCAGUGUGACAAAGGGAGAAGACACACAAGAAACCGGGCGGAUUACACCUGGAACAAUAUCGGGCGUCUUAUACUAUCUGGGUGUAUACUGGUCCUCACUUGCUGUUUUUUUACAUGUCACUUGAAGACAGAAAGGAAUAUAUAACCGUAAAUAUGUUGAUGAUUCGUGGUAAACUUUAUAACUAAGAGCAGACAACAUCAUAGGUCCUAGCCACCUCUAAUAAAUGCCUUCUUCUGUAGUGUGGCAGCCUGGCAUGAAUGUUGCCAAGCAGUGCCAAUACCAAUUGGAAGGUCCAUAGAGAAUGGCAGUUUUUACCCCUUAUUGGCCCAAUUGAAAUGCCCUGAUUUAUGAAAAGUGUGUGUGGGGGGAGGGAAAGGUCUAAGGAGUCAUAAGAGGUGCCAGAAUGUCCCUAGCAUGGUAGAACAAGUUAAGGGAAGCAGAAGGAGUAGUUAGUUUGGUAGUAGAGGUAAAUGGUAUUGGUCACAUUUCCAGUGUCACUAGAUUGUCUGGCAUGGGGAGGGUGAGCCCUUGUUCAUUCCGGCAAAGUGGAAACAGUGGAAAAAUAGUGGAGAUGUAGGGGAGGGAGUGGCCUUUGACAAAGACCCACCCAACCCUCCUGCUUUUCGUGUGUGAAUAGUUAGAAGUUGUAGUAUGUAAGGUUGGAUCAGGGCACUCCUGGUGGCAGUAGUUCAGUGGUGGACCACAACGAGUUUAUCAUUAGUCUCACGGCAGGGUGAACUUGUACUUUGGGAGACACACGUUACAAGUUGAGCACCCAUGAGGAUAUUUUAGGCUUGUGGAGUUAUGAAGGCCGAACUGUGGUGGACAGCCGUGUUUGGUGGACACAGCUUUCCUGGUUCAAGGUUGCUUACUAGAUGGGAGGACAGACACUGUGCCAAAAAGUCUAGCCCUCCUUCACCACCAUUUUUCACAUUUCCUACCAGAUUUAACAGUCUCUCCUUGUUAAUCCUUGGGAGUUAUUUACAAAGACUGGCUUUUUAUGCCGGUCUUGUACUUGCUUUUGUGCUGGUAUUGCUGUCUAAUGAUGGACCUAAUUUAUGAUGAGGCAUGCGCCUCAUCAGGAAGUAGGUGCACCUUAAGCAGCCGUGUGCCUGGCUGAAAAGCUAGACUAGACCCUGGUUGGUUUACACAUUUACGCCUGUUUCUACUUGGUAAAUGUGUCGGGGUCGAACUGCUGGCCCCAGCAUGGCCUGCGUUACACCCUCGACACUUCUAUGUGUCA